rnacentral:rRNA from 1 species
GAUGAACGCUGGCGGCGUGCUUAACACAUGCAAGUCGAGCGAGAGAACUUGAAGGAAAAUUUCGGUUGGAAUUCGAAUGAUCUAGCGGCGGACGGGUGAGUAACGCGUGGGAAACCUGCCUUGUACAAGGGGAUAGCCUCGGGAAACCGGGAUUAAUACCCUAUGAAGCUUCUGGAACGCAUGUUCCGGAAGCCAAAGCUCCGGCGGUACAAGAUGGUCCCGCGUCUGAUUAGCUAGUUGGCGGGGUAACGGCCCACCAAGGCGACGAUCAGUAGCCGGCCUGAGAGGGUGAACGGCCACACUGGAACUGAGACACGGUCCAGACACCUACGGGAGGCUG